UACGUAGGGUGCGAGCGUUAAUCGGAAUUACUGGGCGUAAAGCGUGCGCAGGCGGUUUUGUAAGCCAGAUGUGAAAGCCCCGGGCUUAACCUGGGAAUGGCAUUUGGGACUGCAAGGCUGGAGUGUGGCAGAGGAGACUGGAAUUCCUGGUGUAGCAGUGAAAUGCGUAGAUAUCUGGAGGAACACCGGUGGCGAAGGCGGCAUCCUGGACCAACACUGACACUGAGGAGCGAAAGCCAGGGGAGCAAACGGG
rnacentral:rRNA from 1 species